UAGAUACGAAGAACACCAUCUAAGCAGA
rnacentral:piRNA from 1 species